GAUUUUUAUGCCUGCUGCAUGUUGGAAAAGACAGCCCUCUGAGGACUGAAGGCAAAAAAGAAGUAAUUUUUGAGAACGUUGAGAGGAAAAUCCAGUCACAAGUGGAACAAACAUUAAAAAAAAAAAAAGAAGAAACCCUGUCAUCAGUGAAGUUCUGCCGACUGCACUCAAUAAAGGAAAAGGAACAAUGGUGACUCACUGGUGUCACAGAGAUUUUUAGCAUUCAGCCACAGCGGAGAUCAUCGGUACACUAACCCAAGAGACAGUGUGUCAGCUCUACUGCAAUGCAGCCCAAAGAACCCCUCCAGCAGUAAGUCUGUCUGAGAAGAUGAAAAUCAUGCAGAGAGGAUACACAUACAUUUCUUUGGCUACAGAUUCUUUGUUGAUGAAGAAAAGCAACUACUUCAAACAAUUGUGGGAACCUUGUGUGAAAUGUAGUCCUGGUACGAGCAAGCUCAGUAGGUGGAUAUCACGGUAGAUGACCAUGGCAACUGAAAGGUUUUGCAGUGGGAGCCAAGCUGCAGAAAGCAGUUGCUCCUUCAUGAUGGGGACAUGGCUACAUGAGAUUGAAAACUAAGUGUUUUAACCUCUGGAAUGGUCCACCCUAUCUUGCAGCGGCAUAUCACUGAGCUCAUGAUAUUAAAAAAAAAAGCAUACAAGUUUGGAAGGAUGUCAUGUUUCCAUUUAACUCACUCCUCUUCUCUGGGCAGUAUCAUGCGACUCUAGGAAGCUUCUGAAGUCAGGAGACUGUACGAGCAGUAAGAAUGUGCAAAAUUAUGCUUAAGUUCAAAGAGUACAUGGUGUAUAAACUAUCAAGUCUGCAGGAACCAAGCAUCCAGUUUUUGAUGUGGAUUAUGGAAGAAAGCUUUCCUUACAGGCUGGUCAUUCCAAAAUGGCCUGCUGAAUCUUCCUCUGAAGCAUCCGAUAUUAGGAACAGUCAUAGUCUUGAUAAGUGACCACUCAGUAAUUCCCUCCUGGUCACUUCUUGCAGCAGUGCAGAAGCAGAUCCUCUCCCACACCUUCUGUGCUGUUCUGGUUUCCAGUGACUGGCACAAAGGGACGGCUGAGUCUCUGCCCCCAAACAGAUCCCAAGCUAGUUCCCGUCGUGGCUACAAUUUAUCAAAUGACAGAACGUGGGCACUUUCUACACUUUUAUUUCAUGAUCUUUCCUAGCGUCACUCUCCUUCUCCACAGAAAGGGAGAACUUUACCCAGAACUAUUAAAUUGUGGAAUGUCUCCCAGAGGAGGUGACGGGCUUACAGCAGCUGAGUCAUUCAAAACUCAAACGAACAAAUCAUUUGUGGUUACAGACGAGGGACCAACCCUGUGCUUUCAGAGGCAGGAGCACAAUGACCCACACUAAAUCUGUUCUACUUUUGGUUUCUAAUACUGACUGAAGUGAUGUGAGGGACAUUUUCAUCAAUCUUUAUGAUUUUUUCUUCCAAAAACAUCGGGCAGCUUAUUCUGCAUCUCAUCAGAACUGUUAGGUUCUCAUCUAUCCUAAGAUGUUGGGAUCUUUACAAUGCCAGCCAAACAGGUGUAAGCCACCUACAGUAGGAAUGUGUAAUGUUUAGAAAUUUUACAUACUAAAAAAUAAAUUCAAUAAACAGCCAUCAAGAAAUAAAAGCACUAAUUUCCUAUUUUCCAA